AGCUUUGCGCAGUGGCAGUAUUGUAGCCAAUGAGGUUUAUCCGAGGCGCGAUUAUUGCUAAUUGAAAAAAUUAUGCACAGAUUUAAAUUUUUUUUGCACCAAAAUAAUCUCAAACUUUAAUUCUAUUCUCCAUGAAU
rfam:Tupaia chinensis contig93992, whole genome shotgun sequence.